rnacentral:lncRNA from 1 species
CGAGAAAGCAAAGGAAUACAUAUUGCGCAAAUACUGGAGAUUCGCAAGGUGUUGGGGGAACCACUCUGGUUUGGCUGUGGCCCUACCCUAAUCUCAUCUUGAAUUGUAACUCUCACAAUUCCUACUUGUCAUGGGAGGAACCCAGUGGGAGGUGAUUGAAUUAUGCGGGCGAGUGUUUCCUGUGCUGUUCUUGUGGUAGCGAUGGUUUUUUAAAACAGGAAUUUCCCGGCACAAAUUUGCUUGGUGCCAACCUUGUGAGACGGGACUUGCUCCUCCUUGCCUUCUGCCAUGAUUGUGAGGCCUUCCCAGCCACGUGGAACUCAAAUUGUGCUUGAGUCUACAGGUCAAGAAGAUGAGAAAUGUCUGGUCUCGGCCACAGACACAAGACGAUGAACAAAUAGUCAUCAUUUGAAAAGUGUCACAAUAAGAAGUAAAUGUGCUGCUGCUGUGGUGCCAAGGCCUACCAACUUCAGAGGUGAUCUCUAGCAAAUGCAGCUGCCCUGCCAAGCACAAGAGAAGCCAGUUGCCACGUAAUGAGCAGUCCUAUGGAGAGACCCACGUGACAGCAGUCAUGCGAGUGAUACUGGAAGUGAAGCCCGCAGCUCCAGUCAAGCCUUCAGAAGACUGCAGCCCUGGCUGACAGCUUGAUGGCAACCUCCUGAGAGACCCUCAGCUCGAACAACCCAGCUAAGCUCUGCCUGGAUUCUUGGUCCUCAAAAACUGUAUGAGAUUUAAAAAAAUUAAAAAAGAGGUUUUUUAAAAAAAUUAUUUUUCUACAUCUCCCUGAAUUAAGGAGUUUGUUUUUUUAAGCUACUAAGUUAGGGGAUAAUCUGUUAUUCUAAUAUAUAUUUUAGUACCUGGAAGUAAGGUGCUACCAUCAUAAAUACCUAAAAUGUAGGCAUGGCUAGGAAACUACAGUGGAGGUAGCCAGAAAGAAUUUAAGAAGUAUAGUAGGGAAAGCCUCUUGAGCCUUGAACAAAAUGUUGGGAAAAAUUUGGACUUUUUCCUGCCAGCAGGGGUUAAAAAAAAAAAAGAAAAAGAAAUGUGGACUUUAACCAGGCUGCUGGUGGGGGUUUAAAAGAAAGUGAGAAAAAUCUUGUUGAAAACAGGACAGGGAAUCCUUGCUAUGGAGUGGCAUAAAUCAUAGCAGUAUUGCUGUCUGCAAUAAUGUGGGAGGUGAAAAUGUACCUGGUAGGGUGGUCUAAUUUGCUAUUCAUAAGGAGUCUCAGCUUUUACAGAUGGUGAAAAAUGCUAAAACUAAGAAAUGGCUGAAGGACAGAGGUCAAAUCCCGG